UACGUAGGGACCGAGCGUUGUCCGGAAUCAUUGGGCGUAAAGAGCGUGUAGGCGGCUAUUUAAGUCCUGCGUGAAAUCCCUGCGGCUCAACCGCAGACGGUCGUGGGAAACUGGAUGGCUAGAGUGCGGGAGAGGAGAGUGGAAUUCCCGGUGUAGCGGUGAAAUGCGCAGAUAGUCGGGAAGAACACCCGUGGCGAAGGCGGCUCUCUGGAACGCAACUGACGCUGAGACG
rnacentral:rRNA from 1 species